AUGCUCCUGCCCACUUGCUUCUCAAAACUAGCCCAAUCAUGUUCCCAGGAGGGGAGAAGGGUCUGGCUGCAGACCAUGGGCGAGUGGAGCUCCACUCUCAAACCGGAAGUACGUCACCUCCACUUGAAAACAUCAAGAUGGCGUCGCCGGGAGUACUUCAAACUUAAAAUCAGAUCAAAUGUAUAUCAAGUGUUAUCCAUCCUUGAUAACACCUCCACAAAUAGAGACUGGAACUUCUGAGCACCAUCACCUUGUCUGCUUUGGGACUGUCAUAGCCCAGCAAUCAGAUGCAUCAGAACAACAAAUCACAACUGUGGUGGAACAGGCACCUUCAGCAACAAGUAAAUUGCUUUAACUUUAAUGAUAAUGAAAUGUCAGUAUUGUAAUUAAACUUGACCCAUCUGACGUAAUUGUUCAUGCCAGAGAUUUAACAACACUGUCAGUCAGGAGCAUAUUUAACAGGAGCCACACUCAACUGGCUUGAUGGUGACUUCAGUAAGUGUGGUUGACCCUCUUGUUUUUGUGGCUAUAAUAAUUAGGCUAAGUAAUCUCACUCUCUUCCAUUUCCCUAACAUGAAACUUUUGACUGAAACAUGAAAAUGGUACUUAACCGGUGCAGUGAAGAUAUUUAAAGAAACACUAUCACUAUCUAAAGUACAGAAAGCCUUACAUCAUCUCUAGGUGCAGUCACCUACAGCGCAGCCAGCUUCACAAAGACUGUGGGGCUGGUCACCAGGAAAAUGGACAACAGGGAGUGCUUUUGGGGUUUUACUCCUCAAAUGAUCACCCUGGCUACUGUAGCUGGGAUUGCUUCACAGACGAUGGAGGUCUUGAAGAGUAAAGUGUGCGUGCGUGCGCACACAUUGUGUUUUUACUGUAACAAUUAUGGUCACUUGCAGUUAAUUUGUUUUUAGUGUAGUGUAAGAUGUGUUAAUUAUUAUUAUUAUUACUCAAAAACCAUUAAAACUUCUAAAUUGUGGAAGUUAUUCUUCAUUAUGUUACUGUGGUUAUUUUGUAUAUGUUAUUAUUUCGAUUAAAAUACAAAAUUCAACACACAAAUUCUGGUUGAGGUAUUAUUUUAAUAAUUUAUUUAAUAUUUCAUUAUUUUUUCACUGCUAAAUAUUACAAACAUAGGGUUAACUUUCUAAAAUGUAUGGAAUGUUACAUUGUCAGUUGUACAUUGGUAAAACAAACAUGAACAAAAGGCAGAAGCCCUAAAAAUAUGGAUUGUGGAUGUCGGUAGUGCAAAUUGCUGAGGGGAAAUAAAAAAAAAAUUGCUGUCGUGUCAUAAACCGUGAAAGAUUAGUAUAUUAUUAUUUUUAUUAUUUCUACUAGGUAAAAGUAACAACGAUAAAAGUACAGAACAUAUGAACAUUACGUACAAAGAGGUGACAUAACUUGCAAAGCACCCCUUAUACAUUUAUAUAACAAGUAAUAAUAUAAAACGAAAGUUUGGUGGAGUUGACGUAUUUUCGCUCUUGAAUGGAGCUCCACUCGCCGCCAUGGAGGUGACGUAAUUCUACGGAAAGUGUUGCCCGGUCCAACAUGGCGGCCGCAUCAUUAGUGGAGGCGACGUAAUUCCACGGAAAGUAUGGCCCGGUCCAACAUGGCGGCGGCGUCGCUAGUGGAGGUGACGUAUUUCCGCUCUUGA
rnacentral:lncRNA from 1 species